UGUAACUACUCAAGGUAAUGGCCAUCUUGUUCUGCUAGGACUGGCCCCUCUUAGCAGAAAAACUUGCAAGUGGGCUUCUUUUUGGUGAUUCACAUCACAUGUCCUCAAAGCAAGUGGUGACUGGUAAACAAGUGACAUAUAAAGUUUCAGUUUCUACAAACCAUGGAAUCCAUAUAUUUUGAUAGACUUAUAAACUACCAUGGGGUUUAUUACAUCAGAGAUUCUAUUUACACCAACAGCCCACAUGAACUGAAAUUUUGUGCAUCAUCUUCUAUGACAAAGAAAAGUGAAGUGUCAGGAAGAGAACAACCCACCUAUGCUAUGCCCCUUGUUUUCCAUUCAAAGGCAUUUUGUCACAAUCUGCAAUUCUUCCUUCCGGUUGAAUUUUGCUUUCAUUUUCUUUUCCUUUCCUGUCUAUAUCAGUGGAAAACCAGACGUACCUGCCAUUACUCUUACCAUUCAUAAUUUUCGAGUGAACAUCUGGACCAAAACUCUAUACUUUUGUUGGGUCAAAGUCUCCAUUAAACAAAGGCGUUCUUUGUUCACACUUCACAAUUUUCAAUUGGCCUCCUU